rnacentral:rRNA from 1 species
AUUGAACGCUGGCGGCAGGCCUAACACAUGCAAGUCGAGCGAGCGGCGGACGGGUGAGUAAUGUAUGGGGACUGCCCGAUAGAGGGGGAUCACUACUGGACACGGUGGCUAAUACCGCAUACUAUCGGAUAACCCAUAUGGGAUUAGCUAGUAGGUGGGGAAAAGGCUCACCUAGGCGACGAGCUCUAGCUGGUCUGAGAGGAUGAUAAGCCACACUGGGAGUGAGACAGGUCCAAGAUCCUUACGGAGGAAGAGGGGGGGAAUAUGGAAAAAUGGGGGCAGGCCUGAUGCAGCCUGGCGGGGUGUAUGAAGAAGGCCUUAGGGUUGAAAAGUACUUUCAGGGGGGAGGCUUUACCCGCAGAGGAAGAACCGGCUAACUCCGUGCCAGCAGCGGGGGUAAUA